AGGCCACGGUGUGGACAAAUUCUUAAUAGGUCUUUAUAUCUCUCCCAAGCUCUAAAAAGCCGUUCUCCUUGGUUUUGAGCAAAUCUAGUUAUUUGGUUUCGAAGAAC